GAAAUGCGAUAAGUAAUGUGAAUUGCAGAAUUCCGUGAAUCAUCGAAUCUUUGAACGCACAUUGCGCCCUCUGGCAUUCCGGGGGGCAUGCCUGUCCGAGCGUCAUUACGCACCCUCAAGCCCGGCUUGUGUGAUGGGCCCCGGCGUCUCGUUCGCGGGACGGGCCCAAAAGGCAGCGGCGGCGUCGACCCGAUGAGCCCGAGCGUAUGGGGACUUCUGUCACACGUUCGCGGUGCGGACCGGCGCCUGCUUUGACUUUUCUGAUUAUCCAGGUUGACCUCGGAUCAGGUAGGGAUACCCGCUGAACUUAAGC
rnacentral:misc_RNA from 1 species